CCACCAUCCUCUUCUGUUUCUUCAUCGCCAUCAUCCUCCAUGCAGUAGUGCAGGGGUAUCUUCUGGAUAAAGUGAACCGGCGUCUUCAUCUCUCCAAGAGCAAGAACACCAAAUUUAAUGAGUCUGGUCAACUGUGUGUGUUUCACUUGGUGUCUAGUGUGUGGGGCCUCUACAUCCUCAUAACAGAAGGAUAUCUCCUGCAUCCCAGCAGCCUUUAGGAGAACUAUCC